rnacentral:rRNA from 1 species
GACGAACGCUGGCGGCGUGCUUAACACAUGCAAGUCGAACGGACGAGUGAGAUAAGUUUACUUAACUCACAAGUUAGUGGCGGACGGGUGAGUAACACGUGGAUAAUCUACCUGCAACACCGGGAUAACGCUGUGAAAACGGUGCUAAUACCGGAUACGUUCCCUUGUGCGCAUGUAUGAGGGAAGAAAGCUCAGGCGGUUGCAGAUGAGUCCGCGGCUGAUUAGCUAGUUGGUGAGGUAAAGGCUCACCAAGGCGAUGAUCAGUAGCCGGCCUGAGAGGGUGAACGGCCACACUGGGACUGAGACACGGCCCAGACUCCUACGGGAGGCAGCAGUGGGGAAUCUUCCGCAAUGGGCGCAAGCCUGACGGAGCAACGCCGCGUGGGUGAAGAAGGCCUCGGUUGUAAGCCUGCUUAUGGAGAAAAAUAGAAGGUACCAGAGGAGGAAGACCCCGGCUAACCUACGUAGCCACGGCAGCCGCGGUAAACGAGUAGUACA